UACAGAGGUCCCGAGCGUUGUUCGGAUUCAUUGGGCGUAAAGGGUGCGUAGGCGGUCUUCUAAGUUUGAUGUGAAAUCCCGGGGCUUAACCCUGGAAUUGCAUUGAAUACUGGAGGACUAGAGUACCGGAGAGGAAACUGGAAUUUACGGUGUAGCAGUGAAAUGCGUAGAGAUCGUAAGGAAGACCAGUGGCGAAGGCGAGUUUCUGGACGGUAACUGACGCUGAGGCACGAAGGCCAGGGGGAGCAAAACGGG
rnacentral:rRNA from 1 species